UACGUAGGCAGCGAGCGUUGUUCGGAAUUACUGGGCGUAAAGAGUGUGUAGGCGGUGCUCUAAGUUCGGUGUGAAAUCUCCUGGCUCAACUGGGAGGGUGCGCCGGAAACUGGAGUGCUUGAGCGUGGGAGAGGAAAGCGGAAUUCCUGGUGUAGCGGUGAAAUGCGCAGAUAUCAGGAGGAACACCGGUGGCGAAGGCGGUUCUCUGGGCCAUUACUGACGCUGAGGAGCGAAAGCGUGGGGAGCGAACAGG
rnacentral:rRNA from 1 species